rnacentral:tRNA from 1 species
AAUGAUGAGCCUGAUUAAAGGACUAUCGUGAUAGGAUAAAAUAUGCAGUAAACUGCCUUCAUUA